GGCCAGGAGCUCUGGCCGCUGAGGGUUCGAGUCACGGUGGAGGAAUGGGGUGUGGCUGCUCUCCUCCUCAGGGCUGGGCUCCCGGACGCUGGCCCGUGCCCCAGUGGCCGUGGAGACCAUUUGCUAACUCCCACCUCCACAUGAGAUAAUCGAGAGGACUCCUGCCAUGCUCUGCGUUUUCACCAUAAUGGAAUUCAGGAAAAUUCCUGGGCUUAGCCAGCCUGCAAUUCUAAAGGUGGAGACCAGGGCAGCCUGCAAGGACCUCAGGAUCCGGGCUCACUUCCUAUCCACACUAUCUUCCUACUUCCCCUAAGAAAGCACGUACCUCCCGGGGCUCCACGCCUCAGCCUCCUGCCCUUGCUCACGCGGUGACUCCACUAGGAGUGGUCACCCCUACACCGUUCAACUGAGUCUUCCUCUUACCCCACCCCAAGGCCAAGUUCAAGCGCUGCUGCCUCCUCCAGGAUGGCUGCCUGGAUUGCUCCACCCCUAUUCCCAGCUAUCCUGCAGUGGAGCGAUGUUCCUGAGGCAGAGGCAGUGGAUGUCUGGAGAGAGGACCGAACCGGGGUGCUAGAGAAAGAGCUGGGCGAUCUUAGGCAAGCGAUUUAACCUCUCUUAGCCUCAGUUUCCUCAGCCUCUGAACGAGGUGGGAAUCCAGAGGAUUUCAAGGGGCCCUUUCGGAUCUGCCUGUCUCUUUCACGCCUUUGAAAACUCGCCACUUUCCCCAAGCUGCUUGAAUUCCUAAGGCGUUUUGCAGAGGAAGACAGCGGGGACCGGGAGUGGCAGCCCCGUCCCGACGCCCCCGGAGCUCUGCGGACCGGCUCGCGGGAGACCAGGAGGAGCCGAAAGGCAGUCCUGCGCCGCCCCCUGGUGGCCGCUGCGGACAUUGCAGCCUUCCCCUCCCGGCUUUCCGGAGAGAGGCUGCCCGCGGGACGCUCCCCUGGCUUCGCCGCUCACCUCUCACCUGGCCGGGGAGCUCCCGACUCCGAGGGGAACCAGUCAAGCGCACAUCCCAGCUCAGCCCAGCAGAGCGUGGCUCUGAGGGCGCCCAGUCGCAGGGAACGGGGGGUGUGGCAGCCCCCAGAGGCGCGCCCACCUGCCCCUCCUUUUCCUGCUCCUCCUCUCCGGAGCGCCGCCCAGCAGCUCCUUCGGAAACGUGAGAUUUCCAUAGUGACCUGUGGCUAGUGGCUCAGCGUGGACCAUGGAGUUCUAGAAUCAUCUGGAUGAAGAGACGGUGAUGCAUGGACAAGGCUGGUGGCAGCAGCAAAGGUGAAAGAGAUCACUGUUGGGGUCUCUUUGGGAGGUGGACCCCAUAGGUUGUACUGAAGAUUGGAUUAGGUAUGAGGCAAAGAGGACUCGCAAAGGUGCCCUGGCUUGCACCUGAGUCAUGGAGACAGGGAAGGCUCAGAAGGAAGUGUUGUGGGUGGAAACGGCAUUUCUAUUUUAGCUGUGUGAGUCUGGAGCACAGGAGAGGUCUGGCCUUUGAGGAGAAACAGGAAGGAGGUAACUGCAGGUGGACGGCGCUUUAAUCCCUAGGAGUGGAUGAGACCAAGGAAGGGGAAAGUGUGCCUGGAGCUGCAAAGAGGCUAAGGCGUCAGCCAGGCAUUCCCGGGAGUGAUUAGAUGAUGUUUGUUGUUAUUUGGUGAAUGGGGGCUGGACUCUCAUAGUCAGUCCUGUUAUAGAAAAAUAAUACCUGUUUUGCCACCUGCUUUGUUCUGUGAAAUUUAUUCUUACUAUAGAUGCCAGCAUAUGGUGGGUGUGAGCCCAGGGUCCUGGCCAGGUGAAAGCAAAAGUAUGCUUUCUGCUGCAAAUACUCAAAUAACAGCAAUGGACUGCCCGGAGGCUGGGAUUCUAUGGGUGAGUAAGUCUGGGUCAUUACAAGAUGCAAAUCUAUCACUGUCCUGUGGGAUCAGAGAGUCUGUUUUGUGAUAACUGCCAACGGGCUUUGAAAAAUACUAGAUUGACUUAAUGAAAUUAGUAGAAGGGAAAUAGGCUGUUUUCUUAACAGGAUUGAAACUCCCUGUUCCGAUUGUUGAGAGUUUCACUGAAGCCCUGAGUCAAAUGUUUAAGGCACUUAGUUCUCACGUGCCUUAGGUCAGUUUGAGACUCACUUAGGUCUCAAAUUCCACCUGACCCAGCCCUGCCUCUGGAACUGCAGCCACAUUCUGCAUCAAGUUCUCUGAUGAGCCAUCUGCUGGCACGUGGUGAGGGUCUAAUUCCUGAAGCACAGCCACACUCUUAUUUUCCACCCAAACUUCAAUGGACCCCAAUAUACUGGGGUGGAGGUGACCUGGAUUCCAGCACUUUAAGCUCCAACCCCCGAACACUCUCCUUUCUGCCCCACUUCUGACAAAACUCUGCUGCACACACAUUUUACACAAUUUAUGCGGUGGUUUCCUUGACAGGCAGAACUUACAUGAAAAUUUCUCAGUUUAAAUAUGUGGUUAGAACAGACGACAAGUGUAUCAGCAGCGCC
ensembl:lncRNA